GCUACGAUGGCCUAGUGGUUAGAGCGUCCGCCUCGAAAGCGGAGGUCGUGGGUUCAAUCCCCGGUCGAGUUAUACCA